GGGAAAGGGUAAACGGGGGGAUGUAGGGGUGGGCAAGGCUCUGAGGAGAGUCUUCCUAGAGAAGGGGUGAGAGGCCAGAGAGACAGCUGAGGCAAAGAUGAGGCCACUGCCGGCCGUGGGGUGGAAUGGAAGUGGGGGUGCCACCUACCGCCCCUCCCCCAGGCCCAGUCUCUGCACAAAGACCUCUCUGUGAGUAGCUGUGGAAGUGGCCCUGUCAGGUGAGAGGACUUAGCUCCAGGGCCCAUCAGGGGUGGGCUGGAAUGGGUUGGAGGAGGGGAAGGUGUGGAAUGGCUUCAGGCUUUAACUGGAAGGAAAUAGAAGCUGAGACUCGGCCAGGUCUCAGUGAGGCCAUGGUGGAGCCGCUCCCAGGACAAGCUCCCCUUUAGCACCAAUACCCCGCACCUGCUCUCUCACUGUGUCUUCCCAGAUGUGACUCCAGAUCCUGCCAGGCCUCUCCAGGCUGCCUUCCCCAACACCGCGCCCCACUAGUGCCUCUGCAGCUGCCCCCACCCCAAGCCUCUUCUUCCCAGUGUGGAAACUCUCAAGUCCCCUCCAGCUCCUGCACAGGGCUCCCGCUCCUGGGAGGGGGAAAGACAAGAUAGACCAGAGCUCAAAAAGGAGUCCAAGGUCCCCUUAGUCUCUACACUCAGGCUCAUCUUCCCCAGGGGAGGUUCCCUUCCUUGCCUGGCCUCCUGUCACUUAUGCUAAUUAGCAGUGGGGAUAGACCACCCCUUCCUUCAGGCCCCCCGCUGUGUACAGUGUCCCCCCUAAUAACAAUGUGGAUUUGGGGCACUGGAAGUGGUAGAACAAGAGCAGACACAUCUCAGCAGAUAGGUUGCUCACAGAUUUGAUAGAGGAGCUCUAUCCAUAGAACAACGAAAGAAGGUUUUGAUGUUUGGGGUUUAUUUAUUUAUUUUUGUCUUUUUAGGGCUGCACCCACGACAUAUGGAGGUUCCCAGGCUAGGGGUCAAAUAGGAGCUGUAGCUGCCAACCUACACCACAGCCACUGCAAUACCAGAUCUGAGCCGAGUCUGCGACCUACACCACAGCUCAUGGCAACGAUGGAUCCUUAACCUUGAGUGAGGCGGGGGGGCAAACCCACAUCCUCAUGGAUGCUAGUCGGGUUUGUUAACCACUGAGCCCCCUGGGGUUGGGGGGGUGCUUUUGUUUUGCUUUUCAGGGCUGCAGGUGCAGCAUAUGGAAGUUUCCAGGCUAGGGGUCGAAUCAGAGCUACAACUGCUGGCCUGCACUGCAGCUCAUGGCAAUGCUGGAUCCUUAACUCACUGAGUGAGGCCUGAUCCUCAUCCUCAGGGAUACUGGUCAGGUGCUGUAACCCGCUGAGCCACAACAGGAACUCCCAGAGUUUUUGGUUUUUGAUUCUGGAAUCCAGCAGGCUGGUCAAGAUGCACAUUUUGUCUUCCUUCCCUUACUAGUUGGGUGGCCUUAGCCAAGUUUCUUGAUGUCUUUGGAUCCUAACUUGCACCACCAUCCUGAGGAUCAAACAGGUCGGUGUGGAUGAGAGUGUUUUGCAAGGCUGUGUGCAGAUGUCCAGUGUCCAUUCUAAAUGCUGAGGGACACACAGGUAGAGGGGCCACCAUAGGCAGGCGAGGACAAUCAAGGGCGGCUUCCAGUGUUUGGAAAUGAGGGAGGGGAUCGCUGGGGCGGAGAGCGCAGGUUCUCUGGGUGCAAAACGUGAUGAAGGUCUGGCUGGGCUCCGUGAGCUCUCUGGUCUCAAGCGGGUGAACAUCUUGCUGAGAAUGGUUUGGGUGGCACUUGCUUUUAACAACUAGAUGAUGAAAUGGCCUCCAGGACCACAGCUUCUUUCAUCCUUCUCAGGAGGCGCUUCCUGCUGGCCCCGUGAGAACCCCGUCCAGCAAUUCUGGGAUGAGAGGAGGGUGGCGUGAAGCUCCAUUUUUCCCCAUUGCCCUGACCUGCUCCCCACAUCUCAAUGUUCUCCGGAGGGAACAUUAGCCAGACAUUGUGACCCUCUGCUGAAUGAACACAAAAUGGUUCCUCCAAGUCCUGCCACUCGGAACCCGCCCAAGUCUGAUUUUAUGCUUCCUUGGCAUUGUCAGGAGUGAGCUCAAUUCAGACCAAUUUAGAUCUCUCGGCCCAUGGGCCAGGGGGACUUUGAGCAGGAGGGUCUUUUGUCUCUAAGCAGUCAUUCCUUGUUGUACAAGCAAGAGUCAGGAGGAGGGAUGGUUUUGGCCUCAUCCCCCACAGACAGCAGUGGAGCCUUUAGGCCUGGAGGGAAGGGCCAGGCUGAGGCUGGCAUAUGGAGGGAGAGCCCUGGGCACAGGGGGCAUGAGCUUCACCCAGCUGGGGCUACCUUCUGCUGGGUUUGUCCAUCUGGCACCAGCUGGCUUCCCGGCACCGUCCCCACAACCAACCAGACUCCUUCGGCUGUGGUUGCCAUGGCAAUUGGCUGCCAUCUUGUACUUAGGGCACUAUCUCAUAUCUGGAAUUUCCCAUGGGGUUCCUGGAGGAUGGGAGAUAGGUCUCCAGGGAUUUAGCCUUUCCUCUUUAUAUCCGCCCAAUGAAAAUUCAUAUUAAUAUAUGAUUUUUAAAAAUAGCCAAAAUGAAGGCUUACUUUAUGUGAGGCUCUGCUAAAUACUCCCUAUGUGUUAUUUAAUUGGGCUAAGAAAGCAUUAAUGAAAUAAAAUUCAAGAGGUCCCCACCCAGUUUCCUGUUUCUAUGAUGGACUUUUUCUCUCUCCAACCAGGAACAGCCAGGUCUUGCUUACUCCUGCCUUGGGAAGUCCUUCCCAAUGUCUAACCAAGAUCUGUACCGCUGAAGUACCAGUUCUUUGACCCUCGGCUUGACAUGGCUAAUUUGAGAGGCACAGGGAGGAACUGACCUUGAUUUGGCACCUGCUUGCUUGUGUAAGCCCUUUUUUUCUUUUUUCUUUUUUUGGUCAUUUUUUGUUUUUUAGGACCACACCCGUGGCAUAUGGAGGUUCCCAGGCUAGGGGUCCAAUCGGAGUGGUAGCUGCUGGCCUAUACCACAGCUCCCAGCAACGCCGGAUCCUUAACCCACUGAGCGAGGCCAGGGAUAGAACCCAAGUCCUCGUGGAUGCUAGGUGGGUUUGUUAACCACUGAGCCACAAUGGGAACUCCCUAUGUAAACCCUUUCUUAGCCAUUCUUAUCUCAGUGAAUCUUCCAACAGUCCUGAAAACUGAGUGAUACUGUCGCCACUACACAAAGACAUAAUCAGAGCCCCAAGUCACAGGACUGGUAAGUGAAGCUGGGCUUCAGGUGGGUCCUGGUGGACCCCAGAGCACAUGCGGUCUCCCCCUCCUGUACUGACUGCCUAAAGAAUAUGUUCCAAACACAGUCAGGAACACCAAGAGGAGAUGGGACCAGGUAGGCAGGGAGCCUUCUCUGCAAGUCCUCAGGGGGAGAAGGGGCAUUCCCUCUCAGGCGCAGGACUGAAGUCGGAGGAAUGCUACAGCAGCCCUUGAGGAGUGAAGGCAGGCCUGGGGAAGGGGGCACAGGAGCCCUAGAAGUCAAUAAAAUCCUCCCAGCUGGGCUCCUGGCCAAGGGAAUAUGCUUCCCAUCUUCCUAAAGCCAAGUACCUGGGGCCACCGCCGCCUCUCACCUGCUUGAGAUCUGAGUUCCCGCCCUGGGCAUUCUCCCCCACCCCCACUCCACGGCUCUGGGUAGAGCACCUCGAAGAGAUGUCUAGACUCAGCCACUGUCAUGGUAGCCCCUUGGAGAGCCCUCCCUGGUCUCUUACCUCUCCUGGCCCCUGGACGGUUACCUUCUGCCUCCUGCUAAGGUCUCCAUCCAAAGAGAAGCUCUUUCACUCUUGACCUAUUUAUUUUCUUUUCAGACCAAAAAGAAGAACCUACUUCACCCACUUGUCCUGGGUUCCCUCUGAGACGCUGUCUUGAUUGACUGAAAGAUGAGGCUAAACUCUAGCAAGUUGAGUGGCUCCUCCCAGAAUCCUUUAAGCAGGAUAGAAGUGGGGAGGCCCCAGCCUCCAGCCUGGGCAGCCCGUUAGACUGGAGCCGCCUGGCAAAGACUUUAUUUCAUCAUUGCUCCAGUGUCUGCAAGCUGUCCAUCCUGGCCAGCCCUGGUUUCCCCUGUGUCGUCUGAACUGAGAAUCUUCUGAGAUGGAAGUCCCAUCUCAUGCCUAAUAAAGACUCUCAAAUAUUGA
ensembl:lncRNA